rnacentral:rRNA from 1 species
GGAUUAGAUACCCCGGUAGUCCACGCCGUAAACGAUGAGUGCUAGGUGUUGGGGGUUUCGAUACCCUCGGUGCCGAAGUUAACACAGUAAGCACUCCGCCUGGGGAGUACGCUCGCAAGAGUGAAACUCAAAGGAAUUGACGGGGACUCGCACAAGCAGUGGAGUAUGUGGUUUAAUUCGAAGCAACGCGAAGAACCUUACCAGGUCUUGACAUCCCUCUGAAAGCCGCAGAGAUGCGGUCCUCUUUCGGGACAGAGGAGACAGGUGGUGCAUGGUUGUCGUCAGCUCGUGUCGUGAGAUGUUGGGUUAAGUCCCGCAACGAGCGCAACCCUUGACUUUAGUUGCCAGCACGUAGUGGUGGGCACUCUAGAGUGACUGCCGGUGACAAACCGGA